rnacentral:rRNA from 1 species
CCCUUAGAUGUUCUGGGCCGCACGCGCGCUACACUGAUGCAUUCAACGAGUUUCUUCCUGGUCCGAGAGGAGUGGGUAACCUUUUGAAAGUGCAUCGUGAUAGGGAUAGACUAUUGCAAUUAUUGGUCUUCAACGAGGAAUUCCUAGUAGACGUAGUUCAUCAGACUGCAUCGAUUACGUCCCUGCCCUUUGUACACACCGCCCGUCGCUCCUACCGAUUGAAUGCUCAGGUGAGCCAUUCGGACUUUCAUCAUGCUGGUUUCCAGUUUUGAUGAAGGAAAGUCUUGCGAACCUUAUCAUUUAGAGGAAGGAGAAGUCGUAACA